rnacentral:rRNA from 1 species
AUUGAACGCUGGCGGCAGGCCUAACACAUGCAAGUCGAGCGAGCGGCGGACGGGUGAGUAAUGUAUGGGGACUGCCCGAUAGAGGGGGAUAACUACUGGAAACGGUAGCUAAUACCGCAUACUAUCGGAUAACCCAUAUGGGAUUAGCUAGUGGGUGAGGCAAUGGCUCACCUAGGCGACGAUCCCUAGCUGGUCUGAGAGGAUGAUCAGCCACACUGGAACGGGGAAACGGCCCAAACUCCUGCGGAGGCGCCGGUGGGGAAUAUUGCACAAUGGGGACAAUCCUAAUGCGGCCAUACCGCGUGUAUGAGGAGGGCCCUGGGGUUGAAAAGUACUUUCAGUCGGGAGACGUUACCGACAGAAGAAGCACCGGCUAACUCCGUGCCAGCAGCCGCGGUAAUAC